rnacentral:rRNA from 1 species
AUGGUCUGUCGUCUUCGUCGCUCUCUCUAUGGCCUUAAGCAAGCCCCUCGCGCCUGGUUUGAGCGUUUUGCCUCUGUGGUGACUGCCGCUGGUUUUUCAGCGAGUGAUCAUGAUCCAGCAUUGUUUGUCCACAUUUCCGCUCGUGGUCGGACUCUUCUUCUUCUCUAUGUUGAUGACAUGAUCAUCACCGGCGACGACCCUGAGUAUAUUGCCUUUGUGAAGGCCUGUCUUAGUGAGCAGUUUCUGAUGUAUGAUCUUGGCCCUCUUCGCUACUUUCUUGGGAUCGAAGUCUCUUCUACCUCUGAUGGCUUUUUUAUUUCCCAGGAAAAGUAUAUCCAGGAUCUUCUUGCUCGUGCUGCUCUCACUGAUGAGCGCACUGUUGAGACUCCCAUGGAGCUCAAUGUUCACCUCCGUGAUACUGAUGGUGACCCCUUGUCUGAUCCGACGCGUUAUCGUCAUCUUGUUGGGAGUCUUGUCUAUCUAGCUGUCACUCGACCGGAUAUAUCUUAUCCGGUCCAUAUUCUGAGUCAGUUUGUCUCUGCUCCCACUUCGGUUCACUACAGUCACCUCCUUCGUGUUCUCCGAUAUCUUCGAGGCAUGAUCUCUCACCGUCCGUUCUUUCCUCGCUCCGGUUCAUUACAGCUUCAGGCCUAUUCGGAUGCUACGUGGGCCAGUGAUCCCUCGGAUCGCCGUUCACUUUCUGCUUACUGUGUUUUUCUUGGUGGUUCUCUCAUUGCCUGGAAGACGAAGAAACAGACUGCAGUUUCCCGUUCGAGUGCAGAGGUUGAGUUGCGAGCUAUGGCUCUUUUGACGGCAGAGGUGACUUGGUUACGGUGGUUGCUUCAGGAUUUUGGUGUUUCUGUCACUACACCUACUCUUCUACUGUCUGACAGUACAGGUGCUAUUAGCAUUGCGCGCGUCCCUGUGAAGCAUGAGCUCACCAAGCAUAUUGGUGUUGAUGCUUUUUAUGUGCGCGCUGGUGUGCAGGAUCAGGUUAUUGCUCUUCAGUAUGUGCCUUCCGAGUUACAGUUGGCAGAUUUCUUUACGAAG